rnacentral:rRNA from 1 species
AACGAACGCUGGCGGCAGGCCUAACACAUGCAAGUCGAGCGGGACCUUCGGGUCUAGCGGCGGACGGGUUAGUAACGCGUGGGAACGUGCCCAAAGGUACGGAAUAGCCUCGGGAAACUGAGAGUAAUACCGUAUGUGCCCCUCGGGGGAAAGAUUUAUCGCCUUUGGAUCGGCCCGCGUUGGAUUAGGUAGUUGGUGGGGUAAUGGCCUACCAAGCCGACGAUCCAUAGCUGGUUUGAGAGGAUGAUCAGCAACACUGGGACUGAGACACGGCCCAGACUCCUACGGGAGGCAGCAGUGGGGAAUCUUAGACAAUGGGGGAAACCCUGAUCUAGCCAUGCCGCGUGAGCGAUGAAGGCCUUAGGGUUGUAAAGCUCUUUCAGAUGGGAAGAUAAUGACGGUACCAUCAGAAGAAGCCCCCGGCUAACUCCGUGCCAGCAGCCGCGGUAAUGUCUGUACU